ensembl:lncRNA
CAGGACUCCUUUUAGGUCGCUGGCAGGGAGCAUGACAUGAAUAUCCAUUAAAACUCAGAAAACUGGAGCCACAUUCUCUGAGGAGUCAGAAUAAGGAGUAGAAAGGAACACCGAGGCUGCCUGAAUCCACAUGUUCCUCAGGGUGUGCAAGCAUCUGAGGCACGCAGGGAGAAGACCACUGCUGAGUGAGAGACAGUGUAAGCCUUACACUAAUAAUGGCCCAGAGCUGUGUUGUCCUGUGAUCUCAGCAGCAACCACGGUCCCGGUCCUGUACCUCAACAUGUUUAAGAUCUGCCAGUCAGGAAGCGGGUAGGAGGGUUAAUGAGGCUGCCUCUGGUCUGCUGGACGCACUGAGCAUUGCAUGGCUGCAGAAGAGGAAGAGCCUUUCUGAAGUGUGAGCCAAACAGUGUGGGAAGUUCUGAAAGGAUUCAGCCAUCCAAAUCCAUUUACACUGCAAACAGUGUCACAACCAUAAUGGCCACUGUGAUUAAAAAGAAACUGGCAUUGAUGAAGGCUGAGACUGAGCUUGACCCAGAUCUCCCCAACACCAGCAUCUCAAGUCAAAGGCUCUAUAUUUUGAUUCUUCUCAUCACUCAGUGCCAUGCCUUCCAAUUUAGGGAUGCGGAAAGAAGCAGUAUGCAUCCCAAAUGUGGAGGCAGCAGAGUCAGUGGUAUGCCAAAUUCACAGCCUGUGGGAUUUGAAAGAGUGUGUCUUCUUAGUUAUCAAGAUAACUAAGAAUGAUUUUUUCAAUUACAGAUGCCUUUACCUCUGUCAGUGAGUGUGGAGGGCCAGAGGCAGCUGGGUUGGGGAGUGAGUCAGACCCAGCUGCAGACUUAUGAUACAACCUGGCACAGGUACCCUUUCCGGCAGGCAGACUGUGGUCUCAGGACCUCCCAGCACCUGCAAUUCAUCCCAGUCCUUGGUUGGAGAGGAAUGUAGGCCUACCAUCAACAUCCCUGCCUAAGAGCUAGUGGACUGCCACAAGUCACAGCCUCAGACCCAGAGAUGUGACUGAGCUAAUAAAUCUCCCCUCUGCUGCCCACAGUAUCCCUAUUAUACUAAGUGUUAGAUAAGAUACUUAUUAGACACUUGCC